GUACUUGCUUUAGCAGCACAUAUACUAAAAUUGGAAUGAUACAGAGAAGAUUAGCAUGGCCCCUGUGCAAGGAUGCGGAGCAAAUUUGUGAAGUGUUCCAUGUUUUU